GUGAAUCAUCAAAUCUUUGAACGCAAAUUGCACUCUCUGGUAUUCCGGAGAGUAUGCCUGUUUGAGGGUCAGUUUAAAUAAAAAUCGGUGUGGUUGCUGCCUUUCGUGGUGACGCACCGGAUUUGGGUCGUCUUGCCUUCGGUUAAGUGACCUAAAAUUUUGCAUGAUUUUUUUCGAACGUAUUUAAAUGAUUUUAGUACCUUUUCGGUAACGAAAUCUUAGGUUGGGUCUC
rnacentral:misc_RNA from 1 species